CGUGUAGGCGGCCAUCCAAGUCUGGUGUGAAAGCUCGGGGCUCAACCCCGAGUCUGCAUUGGAAACUGGUUGGCUUGAGUCCGGAAGAGGAGACUGGAAUUCCUGGUGUAGCGGUGAAAUGCGCAGAUAUCAGGAAGAACACCGGUGGCGAAGGCGGGUCUCUGGGACGGUACUGACGCUGAGACGCGAAAGCGUGGGGAGCAAACAG
rnacentral:rRNA from 1 species